rnacentral:rRNA from 1 species
UACGUAGGUGGCAAGCGUUGUCCGGAAUUAUUGGGCGUAAAGGGCUCGUAGGCGGUUCGUCACGUCGGGAGUGAAAACUCGGGGCUUAACCCCGAGCCUGCUUCCGAUACGGGCAGACUAGAGGUAGGCAGGGGAGAGCGGAACUCCUGGUGUAGCGGUGGAAUGCGCAGAUAUCAGGAAGAACACCGGCGGCGAAGGCGGUUCUCUGGGCCUUACCUGACGCUGAGGAGCGAAAGCGUGGGGAGCGAACAGG